CACCACCAAAUUAACAAAAUUUGUCCUAAAUAUCAUAACCCAAUUUUUUAGCGGAUGUUUUAGAGUUUAAUGUAAUCAUCUUCCGUAUCAAAUUAGGCUAGCUGUUGGUGACACACGCAUGCUGUGAACCCUUCACAUUCUGAAAUGUUUAUUGUGCAUAGCGCGCUUUACUACAAAGUGAAGCCCAAGCCAAAGAAGCGCUGCUGCAAAAUGACGAGGGUCAGCAGGGAGAGAGUACCAAAGUUCAUCAUCAGCAUGACCAUGAAUAAAAGACGGUUCGCUGCCAGACGGUGAUGUUCUUCAAUGUGAAGAGUAGCAGCCGACUCGCACAUCUGCGGAACACAUCGACCGCACCAACGCACACCAACCAAGAGUAAUGACCAGGACCAGCUAGGAGCCGGCGGAGGAUCCGGCUCAAGUAGCUGAAAUGGUUAAAGAUGAGUCAAUGUGAAGCCCAAGCCAAGGAAGCGCUGCUGCAAAAUGAGGAGGGUCAGCAGGGAGAUGAGAGUGCCCAAGUUCAUGCUGAUCAACAUGACCAUGACGACCGUUCACUGCCAGACGGUGAAUGUGAAGAGCAGUAGCAGACUCGCACACCUGCAGUACACAUCGACCAGCAACGCACACCGUCCAAGAAAAAUAACCAUGACCAGAAGCUGCAGGAUCCGGCUCAAGUAGCUGAAAAGUUUAAAGAUGAGGAGUCUGCUGCUGGUUUUCAAAAUUAAAUUGGCGGUAAAUGUGAAGCCCAAGCCAAGGAAGCGCCGCUGCGAAAUGAGGAGGGUCAGCAGGAGGGAGACGAGAGUGCCCAAGUUCAUGCUGAUCAGCAUGACCUUGAAGACCGUUCGCUGCCAGACGGUGAAUAUGAAGAGCAGCAGACUCGCACAGCUGCGGAACACAUUGACCAGCAAUGCAAACCGUCCGAGAAAAAUGACCCUGACCAGAAGCUGCAGGAUCCGGCUCAAGUAGCUGAAAAGUUUAAAGAUGAGGAGUCUGCUGCUGGUUUGCAAAAUCAAAUUGGCAGACAAAGUGAAGCCCAAGCCAAAGAAGCGCUGCUGCAAAAUGACGAGGGUCAGCAAGAGAGAGUGCCAAAGUUCAUCAGCAUGACCAUGAAGACGGUUCGCCAGACGGUGAUGUUCUUCAAUGUGAAGAGCAGCAGCAGACCUCGCACAUCUGCGGAACACAUCGAUCAUUAACCAAGAGAAAUGACCCGGCAGGACCAGAAGCCGGAGGAUCCGGCUCAAGUAGCUGAAAUGGUUAAAGAUGAGGAGUCUGCUGCUGGCCUAGAAAAUCAAAUUGGCAAACAAACUGAAGCCCAAGCUGGAGAAGCGCUGCUGAAAAAUAACGUGUCUCCGCAACUCAUCGUUCACCACCUGCCUCCAACCAAGAGUACCGACCAGAAGCUGGAGGAUCAAACUGAAGCUCGAGCCGAAGAAUUUAAGCCAGUAAUUUCAACAAGGAUGUUCAAAAGCAAGAAGAACCAGCUGAAUAAAGUGAGCCUGUUGAAGAAAAACAGCCAGCAAGAGUAGAACAGGCUGCAGGUUCUGUAGAAGAGCCUGUGGUUUUGACUUUUCCAGUUGUUGGUCCACGAACUGCUUAUAACUACUUCAGGUCAAAGAGAGGUGCGCAGACCUGAAGGACAUGGAUCCUCAGCCAAAGAGGAUCAACAAAAUUGUCUCCAGCGAGUGGAAGAAAUUAUCCAUCGAGGAGAGGGCCAAGUUUGAGAGGAUAUGGCUUUUGAGGAUAAACUGCGUUAUCAAUAUCAACUAGAGUUAUCCAGAUAUGAGGACCAACAGGGGCAGCAGGCCAAUUUAUGAUUUGAUUUUCUAAUUGUUGGGUAGGGUUCUUAAAACAAAAGUGCAAAUGUUUUUGUUCUAGCAAGUUAAGGUUUUGUCAAAUUGAUGACUUUGUCUCCAUUUCAAAUAAAUUAUAUGUAUAGUGUUGAAAUAACAAUGAAAAAAUAUCCGAUUUUUGCCCUCAAUAAAAUUCACAUAUAAUUGAAUAUUUUCAAUAACUAAAACAUAUUUGCAGCAGUGAAUUAACACAUCCCCAACACAUUAUAUAAACAAUAACGGAAUUACAACCUUAAAAAAAAAAACAUGUUUUGUAUCCCAGGUGAAAUUUAGUUGAAAAAGGGGUUAGGAGGUAUCAGCAGAAAUAAAUAUAAUUUUAUAAUUAACUUUUAGAUUUAUUAAGUUAUUGUAAAACAAAAAUUAUUUGUGAUCAAAAUAUUAACAUAUCUUAAACAAUAAAAAAAAUGUGCAUGCUUGUAUUAUAUAUACAGCAU